CCCCACCCCACCUCCAGCUAGAAAGAGAAGGAGAGUGGAUGCAAUCAGACAGCCUUUCAGUAUCCCAGAGAGGGGCAAUAUAUAGGAUUUUCCAGAUUCAUCUCUCUCUUGAGGUGGGGAAGGAACUGAGUGAGGGAACUGAUCCCAGCCCUGCCGCACAGCGAGUCAUGGAGCAAGUUUCACUUUCUCUCCCCUUCUUUCCUCAGAGGAUGCUCUGCACAGGAAUUUACAGGAAAAAAUUCAGCAAGGCUUUCCCUGCACUACUGUUUUCAAACUAAUACCAGCGGUGUUUCAUGGCAUCAAAUGACUACUGGGAUAUUCCCAAAGGAGUACCAAUAAUGAAAUAAAACAAAUGACACUUCAGCAGGAGGUAACAGUCAGUUUCUCAUAUGUUAAUGGCAGAUCCACGCAAUACAGUUAAAACACAUUCAAUGCACAUGAGCGCCUCAAAGAAUCCUUGGAACUGCACUUUCCCCCUCACAGGGCUAUAUAUCCCAGCACUCUCAAUAAACAACACUUCCCAAGAUUCUUUGGGGGAAUUAAUGUGCUUUAAAUAUGUAUUGAAAGCAUUUCAAAUGUAUUGUGUGGAUCUCAUUCACACUGAUAAACAGCUACCCAUUUUGCAAAGGUCUCAAGUAAUAAGUUUUUGUUUUAAAGUUUUCCCAUUUGUAAGAGAGAUCAGGGGUAUGAGUAGGAAUCAGUAAACAAAACCACUAAUAUGUCAUGUGGCGAAGGCCAUUUGAUCUAUUAUGGUUUACCAGUUCUAUAAUGUAUACAACACACCACUAUAUUAUAAUUACAGUAUUAAAAUUACAGUGCCUAAAACAGCCUGGGCAACAACUCCAGCCACAAUGAAAAAUAAAACUCAGAAGUUUCCCCUGCUUCAUAUUUAUAUUCCAUCCAACAACUUGUAUUACUCUGUAAACUCCAUCAGUGACUUAUCAUUCUCUUGCGUUGAUUUACCAGGCAGCGAACUAUCUAUCUAUCCGUUAGAAUGAAAACUUCUUACCCUGAUAGUUACAAAAAGCAAAGCUGACUAUAGGAUGGCAAUAGCAUCUCUGUGUGGUCUUCAAGUGCUGAAUGAGAUGCUUACCCCUUAAGUUAACACAGUGAGGCGAAGUAUUAUGGUGUCUCUUUUGUAGAAUAGGAACUGAGGCUGAAAGCUAGCAACAUGCCCAACGCCAAUCAGGUUCAAAUUUCAGUUCUGCUAUAAACUCACCAACCCCAACAUUCUGUCUUCCUAGAGUCUAUUUAAAUUCACUUUGAGCAGGUCGGCAUAGGCAGCAGAAUGUGGUGGUGAAUACAUUGAAUCACUUCAGAUUCCCACUAUAGGUUGGGAAAGCACAUUUUUGAAUGCUUUGUUCAAAUAAAAUACUUCAUGGAGGUAGAAAACUACAGCAGGGAACACACUGGGCUAGACCCUGUUUCUCUCUGAUGUACUAGGCUUUUUGUUUUUGUUUGAAAGGAAUGUUUAUCCUUGGGAUCAUUUUUGAAAAAGUAAUAUACAGUGGUACCUCUGGUUAAGAACUUAAUUCGUUCUGGAGGUCCGUUCCUAACCUGAAACCUGUUUUUAACCUGAAGCACCACUUUAGCUAAUGGGGCCUCCUGCUGCCGCCAUGCCGCCGGAGCACGAUUUCUGUUCUCAUCCUGAAGCAAAUUUCUUUACCUGAGGUACUAUUUCUGGGUUAGUGGAGUUUGUAACCUGAAACGUUUGUAACCUGAAGCGUUUGUAAGCCAAAGUACCAUUAUUACCUAUAAGUCUGAAGCAGAAUUUAAAAAAAGGUAAAGGGACCCCUGACCGUUAGGUCCAGUCGCAGACGACUCUGGGGAUGCGGAACUCAUCUCGCGUUAUUGGCCGAGGGAGCUGGCGUUUGUCCGCAGACAGCUUCCGGGUCAUGUGGCCAGCAUGACUAAGCCACUUCUGGCGAACCAGAGCAGCGCACGGAAACACAUUUACCUUCCUGCCAGAGCAGUACCUAUUUAUCUACUUGCACUUGACAUGUUUUCGAACUGCUAGGUUGGCAGGGCUGAAGCAGUAUAGUCCAUGCUUAAAAACAUAGGAUUCUACCACCUAAUUUAGUUGCUUGAGUAGGCCAGGGCAUCUGUUUAUAAUUCAGGUAAUAUGACCAUAUCUCAGGUCCAUAAGAAUUACUCCAGCUUUUACUCUAAACACACUAUCAUUUACUUAUUUUUUUUAUCGUAAAUGCAUGUUUCUUCUUUGCAAUAUGAAGUCUUGGACCUAUUUGUUAUUGGAGAUUGAAACGGGAACAGGGAACCUGUGGACUGUUGGACAACAACUCCUCUCAUCCCUGACCAUUGACCUGGCUGGCUAGGGUUGAUGGGAAUCCAUCAACAACUAGGGGGGGGGGGUAGCAGGUUCCCAAUCCCUGGGCUAAAAUAUAGUCCCAGUGAAAUCAAUGAGACUAGAUGCUUAGGCACCAAUCAAAAACAUUCCUCUCCUCCCAAGGCCUUUGGCUAGUUACUUCGUUACGUAUUUUUGUGUUUCUAUAUUGUGAACCGCCCUUUGUUCCUCAGAGGGUGGGUGUUAUAGAAAUUUAAUAAAUAAAUAAAUAAAGUAUCUGUGUGCUUAUGCUCCCAGUUGGUGCACCUAUCCUGCUUUCCACGUCAUGUGGCCAGCAUGACUAAACCGCUUCUGGCGCAACGAGACACUGUGACACUGUUACCAAAAACUCAACACAUUAUAUAUAUAUAAUCUUACAUGCAUUUCUUUCUUUCUUUCUUUCUUUCUUUCUUUCUUUCUUUCUUUCUCUCUCUCUCUCUCGCUCUCUCUCUCGCUCUCGCUCUCGCUCUCGCUCUCACACAGAGUACAUAUAUGAUGCAUGUAAGAUUAGGCCGUACUCUAUUGCACUUUAAGGAAUGCUGUUAUGUAGCACAGUUUUAAAGCAUUUUAACCACUGUAACCUGUGGAGUAAUCCAGCGGCAACAAUCCAGAGGAAGAAACAGUAAAUUAAGCCUCUCUCCUCAUUCCUAUACACAUACAUUCAGAUUAUGUAACUGAUGGGCAGAUUGUGUGUUACAAUAUGAUGCCUGUUGUGGCAGGAACCAGACUUUUGAUUCUGAAUACCUGGUUGUCACAGGCAAUGAUUUAAUGCAAGAAAACGUCACUAGUUCACUAGGCUGUCUGAGAGUCUAGUAUAAUAUAUAGCAGGCUCUGCCCUGUGGUUUUCUUGGGGUUCUUUUGUUUGUUUCUUUGGCUAUUAAUUCCACAAACAUUUUGCAUCUUAGGUAACCAUAUUUCCUUUCUUCAAAUGGAGUUUGGAAUCAUUCCUAAAAAGGUGGUAAUAAACAUCAGCUUGCAACUAUUCGGGAUAUUGUAUUUUAUUUUUCUGUUGGAAGCCGCCCAGAGUGGCUGGGGAAACCUAGCCAGAUGGGCGGGGUAUAAAUAAUUUUAUUAUUAUUAUUAUUAUUAUUAUUAUUAUUAUUAUUCCUGUAUAUUAUUAUUAUUAUUAUUAUUAUUAUUCCUGUAUAUUCCCCAAGAGCUUUUUAAACAGAAGGAAUAAGUCUCCAACAUCAGUAAGUAAAGACACACAUUAGUUGUUCCCUUGGCUCAUGAUUUGCUACCAAAGAAUGUAUAAGCACUUCCCACAUUAACUCCAGAAGGCACAGAAACACACAAUCAAAUCCUAAGGAGAUCCUGGAAAGAUUACCAUUUCUGAGAGAUAUAAAAACUUCUAAGCCAUGUAUGAAAUUUUACUCUGCUGUAAGUGAAUGCCUUAAAACAUCCCAUGAAGUCAGGAUAGCAUGAGAGUCUUACACUUAUAACAUCUACGUCUUAAUACACAGGUGUGUACAUUUGUUUUCCAAAAAGAAUAUGGUAAGAAUCCCUGAGCCGUUCCCUUUCAACAAUCUCUUUCAAAUUCCACCUUCCAGUUUACAUAGAGCUAUGUGGCACUUUUCAAGCCCCACAGCAGCAUUAAUGGCAUCUUAAAUGUUUUGUUUAUGCUCUUCCUCCCCAUAUUCUCCCCCCUUUUUUUACUGUUUACCCUCUCCUCACUAAAGGUGACUUAAAUGCCUGUUCUAAAUUCUGUCUUUUUUCACAGUUAAAAGCACACUACUCAAGCUUUAAAAAUGAACACUUUCACACUUUCAAUUGCAUGUAUAAAUUAUGUUAUGUACAAUGCUUUUGGUUGAAAAAAUGUUUUAAGUGUUUUAAAAGCUUCCCAUUUAAACAGUAAAACGGCAAAUCUUAAUCAAUGUUUAUUAAAUACAGUACCGAAACCUUACAUUAUGCUAAGUAGACCACUAGAUGGCACUACAUAUAAUACAGCCACAUAAACUUAUCACUAAAUGCAUAAAAUGAUUUUCUUUUGUAUCAAGCAACUCUUACGACAUCUGUUUAAAACAGGACAUUGUAUAACAGCAUGAAAGAGGCAUAACUAUUCUGAUUUAUAUAAAUAUACCAAUGUUGAAUUCACAUGAGUUUAUACAGGUUCUUUGGUUAACACAAUUUAAUUAUUUAAAUCAAUUAUUUAUAUCCACCUGCUUGAAGAUACGCUGUGCUUUCAAAUAACUUGAUAAGAAGGUGUCAGACUCAGGUGUCUACUCAAUUUAUCAACACCACAACAUAGUUAACUACUGCAAUCUCCUUUUAAAUGACAUUUGUCUAACUUUCACUCUCAUGCUUGAAUAUUUACCAAUAGUAUUAAAAAAAUAUAUAAAUAAAUCCCCUACCAGGCUUUGCUAAAAGUGCAAAGCAGCUUAACCUAAACAGCAUAUAUUUAAAUUUUACUAAUCAGUACACCAUAACUCUAUCUCUCUUUUAAAUCAGAACCAGUGAAGGCAGUGAAUGUCCUGUGUGAGUGCCUGGAGGCGGUUGGAGGAUGGAUGGCGGCUAACAGAUUGAAGUUGAAUCCUGACAAGACAGAAGUACUGUUUUUGGGGGACAGGGGGCAGACGGGUGUGGGGGACUCCCUGGUCCUGAAUGGGAUAACUGUGCCCUUGAAGGACCAGGUGCGCAGCCUGGGAGUCAUUUUGGACUCACAGCUGUCCAUGGAGGGACAGGUUAAUUCUGUGUCCAGGGCGGCUGUCUACCAGCUCCCAUCUGGUACGCAGGCUGAGACCCUACCUGCCCGCAGACUGUCUCACCAGAAUGGUGCAUGUUCUAGUUAUCUCCCGCUUGGACUACUGCAAUGCGCUCUACGUGGGGCUACCUUUGAAGUUGACCCGGAAACUGCAAAUAAUCCAGAAUGCGGCAGCUAGACUGGUGACUGGCAGUGGCCGCCGAGACCACAUAACACCAGUCCUAAGAGAUCUACAUUGGCUCCCAGUAUGUUUCCGAGCACAAUUCAAAGUGUUGGUGCUGACCUUUAAAGCCCUAAAUGGCCUCGGUCCUAUAUACCUGAAGGAGCAUCUCCACCCGCGUUGCUCAGCCCGGACACUGAGAUCCAGCGCCGAGGGCCUUCUGGCGGUUCCCUCACUGCGAGAAGCAAAGCUACAGGGAACCAGGCAGAGGGCAUUUAGAAAACACCUAAAGCUCACUUAUUCUUUACUGAAAGGCCUGUACAGAGAAAUUCCCUUUUCUCCACCGAUGGAAUUCAUGCAAUCGCUCUUUCUUCUAGUUUUUAACAGGCUGUAGUAAUUUACAUCUGACCUGCAGAUAUCCAGAACAGAUUUCCGCAAACAGCAGUCGAGUUCCUGGAAAGUUCUUUGUAGUUAGAACUGCAGCAGUUUCCUCUGCAGCAGCCAUGAUCGGCUUUGUGCGAUGAUAGUAUUGCACAUGACCUUACAGCUGAAGUCUAGGAUUGCUGUCAAGGCCAGACUUUCCUUGUGGGAGGAGAAAAACUAGCCCAUAAAGACAACUAGGCAGAAAAAGCAGUAUUUUUAAAAUAGAAAUAUGGGACAAAAUGCUUAAAAUUCUGCCAUUAUGUCCUGUCAUACAGCCACUUCUCCUAGUGACUACUACUUCUUAAUUCUUUCAUAUCAUUUACUCCAGACUUUUUUAAUAUAAAAAAGCAGUAAAUGAAAACCAUAGGUUAAGAGCAUUUUAAGCCAAGCUCUUCCCCCUUUUCUUUUUCUAUGCUAGCCUUUAUGUAUGAAGUAGUUUUAAUAUUAUGAAAAUCCACCAUGAAUCUUAGAAUCACAGAGUUGAAGGAAGUCCUGUCUAACCCCCUGUUCAAUAUCCAGAGCUAGAACAUAUAACAGUUGGUUGUCCAUUUUGCAUAUCCAAUUCUAUAUCAGUCUUGAACUGCAAUACUGAUGUAUGGUCAGUAGUGAUGUAUGGAAGUGAGAGCUGGACCAUAAAGAAGGCUGAUCGCCAAAGAAUUGAUGCUAUUGAAUUAUGGUGCUGGAGGAGACUCUUGAGAGUCCCAUGGACUGCAAGAAGAUCAAACCUAUCCAUUCUAAAGGAAAUCAGCCCUGACUGCUCACUGGAAGGACAGAUCCUGAAGCUGAGGGUCCAAUACUUUGGCCACCUCAUGAGAAGAGAAGACUCCCUGGAAAAGACCCUGAUAUUGGGAAAGAUUGAGGGCAAAAGGAGAAGGGGACGACAGAGGAUGAGAUGGUUGGACAGUGUUCUCAAAGCUAUGAACAUGAGUCUGACCAAACUGCGGGAGGCAGUGGAAGACGGGAGUGCCUGGCGUGCUAUGGUCCAUAGGGUCACGAAGAGUCGGACACGACUAAACUAAACAACAACAAUGUGUAGUCAUACUGGCCACAUGAUCGGAAGCUGUCUGCAGACAAACGUCGGCUCCCUCGGCCAGUAAAGCGAGAUGAGCGCCGCAACCCCAGAGCCGUCCGUGAUUGGACCUAAUGGUCAGGGCUACCUUUACCUUUAAUGUGUAGAAAGCUUGCAGGAUUUGAUUAUUUUAAAAUAUAGAAAGAAAACUAUAGUUCUGGUUAUUCAGACAUUCAAAUGCACUAUACACAUUUGACAUAAAAUUUUAAUAUAAACAACACACCAGCCUGAUUUAUUUUUCCAUUUUUUAUGCUCAUAAAAUCAUUUAUACAAGUCAAAAGGUUGCAGAGAACUUUAGCGGGGAAAUUAAAAGGUGCUUUUUGGAACUGUGCAAAGGAAAAAUAUAGAAUCAUAAGCUAAACAUAUCCCCCUCCUUCAUAUUACAUUAAAUAAUUUGCAUUGAUUAUAUAUUUAGAGAAUUUUAUGUAAAAUGUUAAUAUGAUCAUAUAUACAAAAAUCCCUUCACAUUCCCAUCAAAGAGACAAGUUCUCAUUUGAGAUUGCAAAGAUUACCAAUAGCCUGUGGUUGGGUAGGUAAAAUCCCCAUGGUAAAUUACUUCAUGUAAUCAUUACUAUGUGAGCCAAAAUCUGUAAAAAAAAAUUAAGAAAGACAGACAGAGAGACAUUUCAGGAAGAUGCAGAAAUCCCCACACAUGCUACGAUAGAAUUUAUUACACACAUUUUAGUUUAGUGAAAUUCCACACAUCAGUCUAGAGGUUCUAAACACUUGGUUUUGGAGAAAUAGGGGGAAACAAAUCACUUUAUUGAAAUGGGCUUUUACCACUGAUGAAAAUGUAAUGUGGACAUUUUAAAAUGUUGCAAGUUAUAUUGAAAGUUACAACUUAAAACACAACCUGUAAAAUGUCAUUCCUGGAACAGACAGAGAGGUGGUGGGUGGAACUGUUUAAAGAACAUCAGAAAUUGUUUUGCAUUUAGGACUUUUUUACACAAGGUUAAAAUUCCCUUUGAACCUCUCUUGUGCUAUUUAUGCAUCUGAUCAUGAUUCACACAGAUGAAGAAGCGGAGGGGAAGCAUUUGUAGUGUGGGUGAGCAUUCUGGUCGACUUACAUAUUUGCAACAAAAAUGGGAAACCCGCCCCCCAAGGGCACUGGAAGUAGGAGCAAAAAAGGGGGGGCCAAAAGAGAUGUUUUUAUUACAAUGUGUUUUGGACCCAACUGGUCCUUCUUGAGGGAAACUGAGAGCCAAUGUAGAGUAAUGCUUAUGGUGUUGGAGUAGUUCAAAUCCCCGCUCAGCCAUGACGCUCACUGCACCCAGUGAGCCACCUUGGGCCAGCCAUGCUCUCUCAGGCUAACCUACCUCACAGGGUUGUUGUGGGGAUUAAAAGAGGAGCAAAGAAAGAACCACAUACAUCACAUUGAGCUCCAUGAAGGAAAAUUAAGCAUGUAGAUGUGCUGUCGCUUCUUUUCUUAUGAUUGGCUCUGAAACUUCCUGAGAAUUCUCAUUGGUCACUAGGCUGUUCAGGCAACAAAGGAGGCACUAGGAUUCCUCCACUCCUCUCCUGCCCAAACUUAAAAGGGGAUGUUAAAGCAGUUAUACUGCUUCUCUCGCUUCACAGCAGGCCCCUUUGCAGAAAAAAACCGUAUCUAGGUUAAGAAUGGUUAGCUGGGGAAUUAGCUGUUCACAGAUCAAGAAUCCUUAUACAGAUACAAGAGCUAACUUUUUUUCUUCUUACAAAUAUACAGCCUUCAAAACAUAUUAACUACUGUAUUUUAUUCUACAAAUUCCAGGUUACCAGUUUUCAAACAAAGCCCCAUUCAACUGGUAAGUCUCCCACUAACUAUCCUUACUGCUUAUCUACACACUGGAUUUCCCCUUUGAUACUAUUAGUCAAUUGUGAGAUGUUAAAAUAUGAAUUACUCGAAACAAGAGUGUUGUUGUAACUGGGUCUCAAACACACCUAAUAUGUUUUCUGGUAAAUAAAGUUUGAAGGAUGUAAGAUGAUCAUACAGUGGUACCUCGGUUUAUGAACACAAUUGGUUCCGGAAGUCUGUUCAUAAACUGAAGCGUUCAUAAACUGAAGCGAACUUUCCCAUCGAAAGUAAUGGAAAGUGGAUUAAUCCGUUCCAGACGGUCCGCGGAGUAACCGUUCAUAAACUGAAGCGAACAUUUCCAUUGAAAGUAAUGGAAAGUGGAUUAAUCCGUUCCAGACGGGUCCAUGAAGUACUUAAACUGAAGCGUUCAUAAACUGAAACAUGGGUGUAAUUGGUUCCGGAAGUCUGUUCAUAAACUGAAGCGUUCAUAAACUGAAGCGAACUUUCCCAUUAAAAGUAAUGGAAAGUGAAUUAAUCCGUUCCAGAUGGGUCCGCGGCAUUCAUAAACCGAAAAUUCAUAAACCGAGGUGUUCAUAAACAGAGGUUCCACUGUAGUUGUUGUUGUUUAGUCGUUUAGUCGUGUCCGACUCUUCGUGACCCCAUGGACCAGAGCACGCCAGGCACUCCUGUCUUCCACUGCCUCCCGCAGUUUGGUCAAACUCAUGUUAGUAAGAUUAUCAUAAAGAAUAUUAAAAUCUAGAAAUGUGACAAGUAGUAAGAGGGAUACUAGUUCUUUCCCCAAAGACAAUUGCCAGUGUUUUUAACCAUAAAGUGCUGCAUUGUGAAAAUAAUGAGGUAAGCAUGUCUUUCUAGUUUUUUCAGCUCCCCUUGUACAAAGGGAAAUAGCAAUGUAUAUGCCUCCCAAGGUGCCAAGCUCAUCCACCUUCCAUUCCUGUUGUGAUGAACAAGGCGUAGCUGACUAGCGUCUCAUUCAGCAGUCAGCUGGUUUCCACGGGGGCACAGUAUGCCCUGGAAAGGCUUAGCCAGGCAGAGCAACUGGCCAUAGCAAAGUGGAUUAUGCUUUUGAUGCAAUUCUGCAGUUUAGAAGUUACAUAGCUGCACACUUCAAAAAAGAAGCACAAUAUUUUAAAGAUUUCAGUACUUUUUUGUAUUCUAAAACAAGUUACAUUGUCCAUGGCAGUCUGUAAUAAUAAUAAUAAAAUUAAAUACAAAAACGGAAGUAUCAGCUAACAGAGUGGGACACAGAUUCAGUUAGUUUUGGAAUAAAAAGGUAAGCUACAGAUUCUGUGUUCCUUACAACCCAUAGGAAUUGGUGAAGUUUAAUAACUGAUGGGAGUGAAAAAUUAUAUUCUGGCAGUUUCUUUUCCAGAAUGCCUUUAAUAGACGAGGGAACACAUCAUGUAACAUUCACUAAGGAGGAGAACACAUAUGUGUUGACAUACUGUUUUUUAUUAGCAAGCUUCCAUUUCAGUCAAAUGACGCCAGUGAUCAAGAGUGAAAUUUGGGAGUUUAGAAGAAUGUAAACACAAGUUUUUAAUCUGAUGUUUACUUUGCUAUGCUUCUACACCAAGUGUAGUUUUAUUCUAAGCCUUGGGCCAUGUUGGUGGAACCCUGGUAAAUCCUUUCAUGGCUUCCCACAGUGUAACGCAUCAUUAGUCCCUUGAAGCUAAGGGUCUCAUAAGAAAAAUAAUUUUGAAUAAUUUUGGUUCUGCUGUCUUUCCCCCCCUCUCCCACCGGCUCUAUCUUCAUGUCUUCUCUGCAGUAUGGACAGAAAACAGUCUUCCAAGUCUUGAAUCUUAAAGGGUAUUAUGAUACAGCAAUGAUCACAAGAAAAAGUAAAUUACAGCUCAAAAUAUAUUUGCUUCUUAUCCCAUACAGAGUUUAGCCUGUAGUUUUAAAUCCACAGGAAUAACACUUUGCCAAUUACUGAACAUUUAUGUUAAUCUGAUUACUUCCCUCAUGAACAACCUUAUGCUUCUGUUUAAGGAAUUUCUUACUCUUGAAUUUAGAGAAUUUGUUCAAAGUAUCAUAAUCAUAUUGUAAUUUCUAGCUUCCCUAAUGUUUAACAUCCCUCCUGGCUCUUUACCUGGCACAUUUUUUCACAAUCUGCCAAGAUGCUAAUUAAAUUAACAAAGAGAAAUGAACCAAAGGGAGAAGUUUCUGAGACGAUCCUAGUCAUUAAAGUUUCACUCCAAAGCUUGAUUCCGCCCCCUCCUUUUCUUUCAAUGGCUGUUUUGAUUUAAGACAAUGUGGUCAAAGAAGUGUGAAUGUGUGAUGUGUGUAAUGGCAAUGGAGCCAGUGGAAGUUUCCAUUGGCUUUGCAGCAUUUGCAUAACUUGGUACAUAAGCACACACAGCAGAAUUUAGGAUUCUUGGAAGCUACUAGGGGAAACAGGGAUCUAUAAGUGCAAGAACAGGAAUCCAGCCAUGAGCUCCAACAACUUAGAUAUAGUCUUGCUGGCAAACACUUUAAUGCAAAGGGAGCUCAGAGAAGGACUAGCUGUUCUUACCAUACACACCAUGUGAAGUGGUCUCUGAGCAGGUUGUGUAGCUGCCCCUGCAACUUGGAGACAGAAAAUGCCAAAACCUCAACAUCAUACUUUGUUCUUCCCCUCCUGUUGAGGUUCAUUCCCACUUCAUGGAACAGCAUAAAGCAGUGGUUCCCAACCUGUGGGCAACGGUAUCUCUUAUCUUCUAGGGCCCUCAUAAAAUGCUAUGAAUAUUUUGUCUGAAUCCUUGUUCAUGGCUAACUUUCCACUUGCCCCCUUUUGAAAGAUCCCACCAAGGGCAUGCCAUUUGAUUGGUCUUUCCCUUAUCUGAGGCAGGAUCUUAACCACAAGAGCAGUGUCUUUUGAUGAGUGUUUAUUCUUUAGAUGGGGACGCAGGUGGCGCUGUGGUUUAAACCACUGAGCCUAGGGCUUGCUGGUCGGAAGGCUGGCGGUUCGAGUCCCCACGAUGGGGUGAGCUCCCAUUGCUCGUUCUCUGCUCCUGCCCCCCCCCCAGCAGUUCAAAACCACGUCAAAGUGCAAGUAGAUAAAUAGGUACCGCUCUGACGGGAAGGUAAACGGUGUUUCCGUGCGCUGCUCUGGUUUCACCAAAAGCGGCUUAGUCAUGCUGGCCACAUGACCCGGAAGCUGUCUGUGGAUAAACGCUGGCUCCCUUGGCCAGUAGAGCAAGAUGAGCACCGCAAGCCCAUUAAUCUUUAGAUAUAAACUUGUCUUAGUUCCAUAUAUAAUUGGCUGAAGGAACAUCACUGCUCUGAGCCUGCUCAGUGGAGUCCUUC